AUAUGGCAGCUACCACCACCAUAGCUUCGAGAAAUCACAUAUAUUAUUCUACUCUACUCACGAAUGAACACGAGGAAUAUUUGUUAGUGCUGUAACAAUAGCUUCACAAUCUUCUCUUGCCAUCUUAAAUGACCAAGCCAAUUACAUGCCAACAUGAGAAGAUAAAUAAAAUGGAAAUAUGCAAGCUCACUACACAUUGCACAAACUCGCAUGACAGAUUAAGCAAGCAAAUGUCUAACCAUACCUGCGGAAAAAGGCAGGAAACAACACAUUGUAGGUAAAAAUUAGUAAUAAACAGAGGAAAUUAGUAACAAGCAAAUAAAUCUGAGAGGAAACCUCUGAACUAAUGAUCUAUAGUGUUCAAUGGCAACAAAAAUGACACCGUCAUGUUCAAGAAAAUCCAUCCACGUCAAUCCUGAAAAUCGUCGUUCCUUCAAUCGGGGCCAAGAAUGUGAUCCUGGGCUUGCCUCCCUAUCGUCAGAGCAAACAAAAAUCAACCUUAUUCUAUAUCCAGUCAUGGUAUAGAAAGGCACCGCCGCUGCUCCAUGACUCAAAAAAUAACAUUAGGUGUGAAGCAUUGCAGUUUAAAUAGGAUGCAUGAUGUGAUCCAUUAAGCACCAAAGCAAAUACUUCUAGAUCAUUUACAUUCAUUAUUUGAUGCUAAGUAGAAGGUCAUUUGUUGAGGUAAACUGGUUAAUAAAUUAAAU
rnacentral:lncRNA from 1 species